GGUGACAUAGCCAAGCGGUAAGGCAUAGGUCUGCAACACCUUGAGCGGCGGUUCAAAUCCGCCUGUCACCUCUA
rnacentral:tRNA from 7 species